rnacentral:rRNA from 1 species
GAUGAACGCUGGCGGCGUGCCUAAUACAUGCAAGUCGAGCGAACAGACGAGGAGCUUGCUCCUCUGACGUUAGCGGCGGACGGGUGAGUAACACGUGGAUAACCUACCUAUAAGACUGGGAUAACUUCGGGAAACCGGAGCUAAUACCGGAUAAUAUAUUGAACCGCAUGGUUCAAUAGUGAAAGACGGGUUUGCUGUCACUUAUAGAUGGAUCCGCGCCGCAUUAGCUAGUGGGUAAGGUAACGGCUUACCAAGGCAACGAUGCGUAGCCGACCUGAGAGGGUGGUCGGCCACACUGGAACUGAGACACGGUCCAGACUCCUACGGGAGGCAGCAGUAGGGAAUCUUCCGCAAUGGGCGAAAGCCUGACGGAGCCACGCCGCGUGAGUGAUGAAGGUCUUCGGAUCGUAAAACUCUGUUAUUAGGGAAGAACAAAUGUGUAAGUAACUAUGCACGUCUUGACGGUACCUAAUCAGAAAGCCACGGCUAACUACGUG